rnacentral:lncRNA from 1 species
UUGUUGUAUCAUCACCAGGAGUUAGCAAAAGAGGUAAAGAAAACCCAAGACUUGGAUCUUUUAUACUAGGCCAAAAAUUCUUGCUUCAAAGAUUCUAGGCAACAAUGGCUACGGCGUUGCGUUCGCUCCUUAUGGACCUAACUGGAGACAACUUAGAAAAGAAGAUUCUAGGCAACAAUGGCCACGGCCUUGCGUUCGCUCCUUAUGGACCUAACUGGAGACAACUUAGAAAAGUAAGUGUCAUGGAGCUCCUAAAUGCAAAGUAUGUUCAAUAAUUUGAGUCAAUCAGGGAAGAGGAAGUAGAGAAUCUUAUCGAAGCAAUUUCUUAGACACCACAAGUUCCUGUUA